UUAGUGUGAAGGUGUGACUAAUGACUCGUGUGAUUUCGUCCGUCGACGAAAAACUCGAAAGUAAAAAUUUACAUUGCUUUUAGCUCAGCAACUCUUAUUAGCCUCUUUCUAUAGAUGUAGUCAUUGUAGUGAGCCAUUCAGAUUAUAUAAUGAUAAUAUCCUGACCACCUAAGAAACAGUUUUUUCUGUGGUAGCCUUCCUUGCUUUGCCUGUUUUCAAUUGGAUUCCAGUUGGGCAAAUCCAACAACUAUAAGAAAGAGAUUAAGAGAUACACCAUAUCCACGAAAAGUUAAUUCCAAACUUUGCCUCUUAUCAAAGCUUUGUCACGUGUGCCAAGUAUUUUUGCUGACUCCAAGAAACCGUUAAACAAUGGGACAACUUCAACAUGCUUCAAGUGCAAUUAUUAAAUAACUUUUGUUGUGAGGCUUGGUGUAUCAACUAGGUAUGAAGCUACUGUGUGCUCACUUUUCUCCGAGUUCAGCAACCUUUACAUCAAUGAUCACAACUGGAUAUUCAAUGGUUAUUUCAACAGGGCAUUAUUGCGUAAUAAUACUUUGAGUGUAUUACUAAUGUCGACUUGAAGCAGAACCGUCAACAAAAUUUGAUCCAUCGGUCAUCUCGCUCUUAAAACGUCCUCGCCCAGAGCUCCAGUAUCUUGUGGUGUGCAGCUACAUCCAGCUGCGACGUUAGUGGAGAUGAUCUUUUCAGGUUCCUGAGCAAACGAUUUCGUCGAUGGUGACGACAACAUUUCCCAGUGGAUGGUCGUUUUCUACAGUUUUGUUUUCCACUUUGAAAGAACAAACAGUUUGGGAAUGUCGGCCGAGUUCCUGCAGUUCGUCCACGAUGGAAACGGUGCGAUACUGGACCACGUUGUCUUCUUCUUCAGGCUGUCCAAGUUGACCGGAACCAGUUGCGGCAGUGCUUGGUAGGACCAGGCAAUGAGCUGCGGAAACGAAAAACAUUAAAAGGCAAGAUCCACAAAGAUAUGCUACACAAAAGAUUCUUGGUCGAUUUGUCAAAAGUUUCAUUCUUGUCACACGAAGAGAUAUAGUUCUAACCCAUUGUUGGUCGAUGGUGUGAAGCUGUAACCAAUUCCGCUGCACGGCCCACCCAGAAAGCCUACCUCAGAUAAAUGACAUGAAUGAAUAUUCAGCUUUAGAUGGGAACUCCAACAACUUCUGCGAUCCUCCUAAUCCUUUCCAUCUACCCGACUUUGACACCGGGACCACCUAUUAUUGCCGACUUCUAAUGGUACUUCCGGACUUCCGGUAAUCCGCCACAGCUCGACCGGCUUUCAGUAUUCAGCCCACAUCCGAGACUCUAUACAAUUGACGAAUCCAUCGUAAACCUGGAAACGUGCAUUAGAAAACCGGGUCCGUUUUGCGCACAACACAGAUGAUUCUCAGAGCGUUGCGCCUAUAAACGAGAAUGACAGAGACCUUUUAAUUUCGAGGGAGAUGAAUUAUUUGAAAAUGUCCAUUAGAAAAAAAUUAAGAAACCGCUGGCAAAUACCGAUCCGUCUGUUGGCAAUAAGCCAAUAACCAACUGUGACCAUCAAAAUUUUAACAGCAGAAUAAAGUACGCAAUGGGAAAACAGAUCGAAUUCAAGGGAAAAACUGAAAGAAUUUGAAUUAAAAUUCAAUAAAGAGUAGGGAAAGAAAAAGUUUUGGUUGCACAAACUGCCUGGAACAAGAGUCGGGUCGGCGGUCAUCGACUAUUACCAGUACAGUUUGGACUUUUUGGUUGAAUCUUUUUAAAUUGAUAGAUUAAUCGCAUUUCUUACACGACGUGUGUUAAAGUUUUACCCGUAGGCCUAUCCAUAAAUCAUUGACACAAC
rnacentral:lncRNA from 1 species